rnacentral:rRNA from 1 species
CGGUUGAUCCUGCCGGAGGUCACUGCUAUUGGGAUUCGACUAAGCCAUGCGAGUCGAGAGGGUUCGGCCCUCGGCUGACGGCUCAGUAACACGUGGAUAAUCUGCCCUUAGGUGGAGGAUAAUCUCGGGAAACUGAGGAUAAUACUCCAUAGAUCUAGGAUGCUGGAAUGCAUCUAGAUUGAAAGCUCCGGCGCCUAAGGAUGAGUCUGCGGACUAUCAGGUUGUAGUCAGGGUAAAGACCUGACUAGCCUACGACGGAUACGGGUUGUGAGAGCAAUAACCCGGAGACGAUAUCUGAGACACGAUAUCGGGCCCUACGGGGCGCAGCAGGCGCGAAAACUUCACACUGUGCGAAAGCGCGAUGAGGGAAUCCCAAGUGUUUGCUCGUAAGAGUAAACUGUUUCUUUGUUUAAAACGCAGAGAGAGUAAGGGCUGGGUAAGACGGGUGCCAGCCGCCGCGGUAAUACCUGCAGCUCGAGUGGUGAUCAUUAUUAUUGGGCCUAAAACGUCCGUAGCCGGUUUAGUAAAUGCCUGGGUAAAUCGUGUAGCUUAACUAUACGACUUCCGGGUAGACUGCUAAACUUGAGACCGGGAGAGGCUAGAGGUACUCCUGGGGUAGAGGUGAAAUUCUGUAAUCCUAGGGGGACCACCAGUGGCGAAGGCGUCUAGCUAGAACGGGUCUGACGGUGAGGGACGAAGCCCUGGGGCACAAACCGGAUUAGAUACCCGGGUAGUCCAGGGUGUAAACGCUGCUUGCUUGAUGUUAGUUGGGGCUCCGAGCCCCACCUANUGUCCGANANNAA